CCUACGGGAGGGCAGCAGUGGGGAAUNUUGGACAAUGGGCGNAAGCCUGAUCCAGCNAUGCCGCGUGCAGGANGAAGGCCUUCCGGGUUGUAAACUGCUUUUGUACGGAACGAAAAGUCUCUUUCUAAUAAAGAGGGAUCAUGACGGUACCGUAAGAAUAAGCACCGGCUAACUACGUGCCAGCAGCCGCGGUAAUACGUAGGGUGCAAGCGUUAAUCGGAAUUACUGGGCGUAAAGCGUGCGCAGGCGGUUAUGUAAGACAGUUGUGAAAUCCCCGGGCUCAACCUGGGAACUGCAUCUGUGACUGCAUAGCUAGAGUACGGUAGAGGCGGAUGGAAUUCCGCGUGUAGCAGUGAAAUGCGUAGAUAUGCGGAGGAACACCGAUGGCGAAGGCAAUCCCCUGGACCUGUACUGACGCUCAUGCACGAAAGCGUGGGGAGCAAACAGGAUUAGAUACCCUGGUAGUCCACGCCCUAAAACGAUGUCAANCNUGGUUGUUGNGGUUNNNANCNNGANCCAGUAACGNAGCNAAC
rnacentral:rRNA from 1 species